ACCCGCUGAACUUAAGCAUAUCAAUAAGCGGAGGAAAAGAAACCAACAGGGAUUGCCCUAGUAACGGCGAGUGAAGCGGCAACAGCUCAAAUUUGAAAUCUGGCGUCUUUGGCGUCCGAGUUGUAAUUUGCAGAGGGCGCUUUGGCAUUGGCAGCGGUCCAAGUUCCUUGGAACAGGACGUCACAGAGGGUGAGAAUCCCGUACGUGGUCGCUAGCCUUUACCGUGUAAAGCCCCUUCGACGAGUCGAGUUGUUUGGGAAUGCAGCUCUAAAUGGGAGGUAAACUUCUUCUAAAGCUAAAUACUGGCCAGAGACCGAUAGCGCACAAGUAGAGUGAUCGAAAGAUGAAAAGCACUUUGGAAAGAGAGUUAAAAAGCACGUGAAAUUGUUGAAAGGGAAGCGCUUGCAGCCAGACUUGCCUGUAGUUGCUCAUCCGGGUUUUUACCCGGUGCACUCUUCUAUAGGCAGGCCAGCAUCAGUUUGGGCGGUUGGAUAAAGGUCUCUGUCACGUACCUCCUCUCGGGGAGAACUUAUAGGGGAGACGUAAUGCAACCAGCCUGGACUGAGGUCCGCGCAUCUGCUAGGAUGCUGGCGUAAUGGCUGUAAGCGGCCCGUCUUGAAACACGGACCAAGGAGUCUAACAUCUAUGCGAGUGUUUGGGUGUCAAGCCCGAGCGCGUAAUGAAAGUGAACGGAGGUGGGAACCUUUCGGGGUGCACCAUCGACCGAUCCUGAUGUCUUCGGAUGGAUUUGAGUAAGAGCAUAGCUGUUGGGACCCGAAAGAUGGUGAACUAUGCUUGAAUAGGGUGAAGCCAGAGGAAACUCUGGUGGAGGCUCGCAGCGGUUCUGACGUGCAAAUCGAUCGUCAAAUUUGGGCAUAGGGGCGAAAGACUAAUCGAACUAUCUAGUA
rnacentral:rRNA from 1 species